GACGUAGGAGGCGAGCGUUGUCCGGAUUCAUUGGGCGUAAAGAGCGCGCAGGCGGCUUGGUAAGUCGGAUGUGAAAACCCGAGGCUCAACCUCGGGCGUGCAUCCGAUACUGCUCGGCUAGAGGUAGGUAGGGGAGAUCGGAAUUCCUGGUGUAGCGGUGAAAUGCGUAGAUAUCGGGAGGAACACCAGUGGCGAAGGCGGCUUCCUGGCCUGUUCUUGACGCUGAGGCGCGAAAGCUAGGGUAGCAAACGGG
rnacentral:rRNA from 1 species